rnacentral:rRNA from 1 species
GACGAACGCUGGCGGCGUGCCUGACACAUGCAAGUCGUACGGUCCGUGAUUGAUCAAGCUUGCUUGAUUGGUCGUGGAUAGUGGCGGACGGGUGAGUAACGCGUGAACACCUACCCAUUGGAGGGGUACAACCCGUCGAAAGGCGGGCUAAUACCGCGUAAGCCGCGAGGUGAAAGGCUGCCUUUUGGUGGCUGCCGAUGGAUGGGUUCGCGUCCUAUCAGCUUGUUGGUGGGGUAAUGGCCUACCAAGGCGAAGACGGGUAGCCGGUCUGAGAGGAUGGCCGGCCACACUGGAACUGAGACACGGUCCAGACUCCUACGGGAGGCAGCAGUGGGGAAUAUUGCACAAUGGGCGAAAGCCUGAUGCAGCAACGCCGCGUGAGUGAUGAAGGCCUUAGGGUUGUAAAGCUCUUUUACCAGGGAUGAUAAUGACAGUACCUGGAGAAUAAGCUCCGGCUAACUCCGUGCCAGCAGCCGCGGUAAUCUCGUCUCUAC